UAGCUAGUUGGUGAGGUAAAGGCUUACCAAGGCGACGAUCUGUAGCGGGUCUGAGAGGAUGAUCCGCCACACUGGAACUGAGACACGGUCCAGACUCCUACGGGAGGCAGCAGUGGGGAAUUUUGGACAAUGGGGGCAACCCUGAUCCAGCCAUGCCGCGUGAGUGAAGAAGGCCUUCGGGUUGUAAAGCUCUUUCGGCCGGGAAGAAAUCGCAUGGGCCAAUACCCUGUGUGGAUGACGGUACCGGAAUAAGAAGCACCGUCUAACUACGUGCCAGCAGCCGCGGUAAUACGUAGGGUGCGAGCGUUAAUCGGAAUUACUGGGCGUAAAGCGUGCGCAGGCGGUUUUGUAAGACAGGCGUGAAAUCCCCGGGCCUAGCCUGGGAACUGCGUUAGUGACUGCAAGGCUAGAGUACGGCAGAGGGGGGUGGAAUUCCACGUGUAGCAGUGAAAUGCGUAGAGAUGUGGAGGAACACCAAUGGCGAAGGCAGCCCCCUGGGUCGAUACUGACGCUCAUGCACGAAAGCGUGGGUAGCAAACAGGAUUAGAUACCCUGGUAGUCCACGCCCUAAACUAUGUCAACUAGGUGUUGGGUGGGUAAAACCAUUUAGUACCGUAGCUAACGCGUGAAGUUGACCGCCUGGGGAGUACGGCCGCAAGGUUAAAACUCGAAGGAAUUGACGGGGACCCGCACAAGCGGUGGAUGAUGUGGAUUAAUUCGAUGCAACGCGAAAAACCUUACCUACCCUUGACAUGCCAGGAACUUGCCAGAGAUGGCUUGGUGCCCGAAAGGGAGCCUGGACACAGGUGCUGCAUGGCUGUCGUCAGCUCGUGUCGUGAGAUGUUGGGUUAAGUCCCGCAACGAGCGCAACCCUUGUCGUUAAUUGCCAUCAUUUGGUUGGGCACUUUAACGAGACUGCCGGUGACAAACCGGAGGAAGGUGGGGAUGACGUCAAGUCCUCAUGGCCCUUAUGGGUAGGGCUUCACACGUCAUACAAUGGUCGGUACAAAGGGUUGCCAAGCCGCGAGGCGGAGCCAAUCCCAGAAAGCCGAUCGUAGUCCGGAUUGCAGGCUGCAACUCGCCUGCAUGAAGUCGGAAUCGCUAGUAAUCGUGGAUCAGCAUGUCACGGUGAAUACGUUCCCGGGUCUUGUACACAUCGCCCGUCACACCAUGGGAGCGGGUUCCGCCAGAAGUAGGUAGCCUAACCGCAAGGGGGGCGCUUACCACGGCGGGGUUCGUGACUGGGGUGAAGUCGUAACAAGGUAGCCGUAGGGGAACCUGCGGCUG
rnacentral:rRNA from 1 species